CCCUUAGAUGUUCUGGGCCGCACGCGCGCUACACUGAUGCAUUCAACGAGCCUAUCCUUGACCGACAGGUCCGGGUAAUCUUUGAAUCUGCAUCGUGACGGGGAUAGAUUAUUGCAAUUAUUAAUCUUCAACGAGGAAUGCCUAGUAGGCGCAAGUCAUCAGCUUGCGUCGAUUACAUCCCUGCCCUUUGUACACACCGCCCGUCGCUCCUACCGAUUGGGUGUGCUGGUGAAAUGUUCGGAUCGGCCGUUUGUCGCGGUUUCCGCGUCAUGUGGCUGAGAAGUUCAUUAAACCCUCCCACCUAGAGGAAGGAGAAGUCGUAACA
rnacentral:rRNA from 1 species